GCUGUGUCUCCUUAACCUGGCUUUGGGAAUCAGCACAGGUUAUUGGCUAUUCUCGACUAUCCUAUUUGGCUGACAGAGUCCUUCUAAAUGCACCCCAACAUCACCUGAG
rnacentral:lncRNA from 12 species